UACGUAGGGUGCGAGCGUUUAAUCGGAAUUACUGGGCGUAAAGUGUGCGCAGGCGGCUUCGCAAGUCGAGUGUGAAAUCCCCGAGCUUAACUUGGGAAUUGCGCUCGAAACUACGGAGCUGGAGUGUGGCAGAGGAAGGUGGAAUUCCACGUGUAGCGGUGAAAUGCGUAGAGAUGCGGAGGAACACCGAUGGCGAAGGCAGCCCCCCUGGGCUAACACUGACGCUCAGGCACGAAAGCGUGGGGAGCAAACAGG
rnacentral:rRNA from 1 species